UACGUAGGGUCCAAGCGUUAAUCGGAAUUACUGGGCGUAAAGCGUGCGCAGGCGGUUUUAUAAGCCAGAUGUGAAAUCCCCGGGCUUAACCUGGGAAUGGCAUUUGGGACUGUAAGGCUAGAGUACGGCAGAGGAGACUAGAAUUCCUGGUGUAGCAGUGAAAUGCGUAGAUAUCAGGAGGAAUACCGAUGGCGAAGGCAGGUCUCUGGGUCGAUACUGACGCUCAUGCACGAAAGCGUGGGGAGCAAGCAGG
rnacentral:rRNA from 1 species